UACGAAGGGGGCUAGCGUUGCUCGGAAUCACUGGGCGUAAAGCGCACGUAGGCGGGUCUUUAAGUCGGGGGUGAAAUCCUGGAGCUCAACUCCAGAACUGCCUUCGAUACUGUAGAUCUCGAGUCCGGGAGAGGUGAGUGGAACUCCGAGUGUAGAGGUGAAAUUCGUAGAUAUUCGGAAGAACACCAGUGGCGAAGGCGGCUCACUGGCCCGGUACUGACGCUGAGGUGCGAAAGCGUGGGGAGCAAACAGG
rnacentral:rRNA from 1 species